ensembl:lncRNA
CAACGUCACCCCAUUCAAUUGUAUUGCGGGUGCAUUCAUUCUUGUGAAACCAAACUAGCAAGUUGUGCUGAAAUUCAGGACAUUCAUACAGCACGAAGAGGGUGGACGUGCGCUACACUAACUCUUAAAGUCUCUGCCGACCAUACUAUUCAUUACUGCAAGCAACAGCAAACAUCUGUGUACAUCACUUCCUGUACUAAUUCUACAUGUGAAGUGCGGCUGAAGAAACUGCAUUUCAACUUCGAAACGCAACCCUGGUGCAACUCGAAUUGUGAAAGUGAUGUUUAACAAUGCCGUUGCCUGGAAUAAAUUAGUAAAGGAACCAUUGCGCUAUCACCGAACAACAGGAUUGGAUUGGUAAACACAAUUUCCUGCAUUUAGUUGGACAACGACACAUGACACAAAACACGCCUCCCAGGCUGUAAGGGCUAUUUUAUCAAGGAGAGUGAUGGACUGCUUCAUCAGAUGACCUGGCCUCCACAAUUUCCCUACCUAAACCAAAUUGAGAUGGUUUGGGAUUGAGUCGGACCGCAGAGUGAAGGAAAAGCAGCCAAAAAGUGCUCAGCAUAUGUGGGAACUCCUUGAAGAAUGUUGUGAAGCUGGUUGAGAGAAUGCCAAGCGUGUGCAAAGCUGUCAUCAAUGGUCUGUCGACGAAGGCGUCCGUAUUGGAGCCCCUGUUAUGCCUGAAU